GUGGGCGUAGCUCAGUUGGUAGAGCCCUGGAUUGUGGUUCCAGUCGUCGCGGGUUCAAGUCCCGUCGUCCACCCCA
rnacentral:tRNA from 1 species